UACGGGGGGGGCAAGCGUUGUUCGGAAUUACUGGGCGUAAAGGGCUUGUAGGCGGCCAACUAAGUCAGACGUGAAAUCCCUCGGCUUAACCGGGGAACUGCGUCUGAUACUGGAUGGCUUGAGAUUGGGAGAGGGAUGCGGAAUUCCAGGUGUAGCGGUGAAAUGCGUAGAUAUCUGGAGGAACACCGGUGGCGAAGGCGGCAUCCUGGACCAACACUGACGCUGAGUGAGCGAAAGCCAGGGGAGCAAACGGG
rnacentral:rRNA from 1 species